UUAUGCCUACGGGGGGCAGCCGUGCGGCCUCUUUUUCCCUUUUCGGCCGCCUGAACCAGCCAAGUCGCGUGAGGGAAGAAGGCCCUGCGGGUCGCAGACCUCUUUGGACGGGGAGCAAGGCCGCCGACGUGUCGGCGGAAGGAGAGUACCCGUAGAACAAGCAUCGGCUAACUCCGUGCCAGCAGCCGCGGUAAUACGGAGGAUGCGGGCGUUAUCCGGAUUUAUUGGGUUUAAAGGGUGCGCAGGCGGCACGGCAAGCCGGCGGUCAAAUCGCGGGGCUCAACCCCGCCCAGCCGUCGGAACUG
rnacentral:rRNA from 1 species